GCGUGAGUGGUGUACCGGUUUAGCAUAUACGCCUCCCAAGCGUAUGGAUCGGGUUCGACUCCCGGCUCUCGCG
rnacentral:tRNA from 1 species